UUGAAAGGGAAACGAUUGAAGUCGUGUANGAGAGAAAUCAAUUUUGAAUGUGCAUUUGUGGGCGUAUGAGAUUUCAUUGUUUACAAUAUGUAUGUUUUUUGGUGUACUUUUUGUAUGGUAGGUCAAUGUCGGUUUUGAUGCCAUAAAAUGAUGGAGGAAUGUAGUUGGUUCGGUUGAAGUGUUAUAGCUUUGGUAAAUGUGGUGAUUAAGACGAGGAUUGAACGAAUACCUUUUAGGUAUCCGUUGACUUGAAAGUUAUUAGGUGCCGAAAGUUGCCUACGGUAAUUUAAGUUGACGGUCAAUAGGUUAGAACGUGAUUAAUUCGUUAAGGAUGUUGACGUA
rnacentral:rRNA from 1 species